UCUGGGGGGGAGAGUGGCGAACUGGUGAGUACACGUGGGUGACCUGCCCCGAAGACGGNGAUAGGCGUGGGAAACGACGGCUAAUACCCGAUAUACUCGGUGAUUCGGUUCAUCGAGUUAAGGCUCCGGUGCUUCGGGAUGGGCCUGCGGNCUAUCAGCUAGUUGGUGGGGUAAUGGCCCACCAAGGCGAAGACGGGUAGGGGGCGUGAGAGCGCGGNCCCCCACACUGGCACUGAGAUACUGGCGCAGACUGCGUGCCGAANGCAGCAGUCGGGGAUAUUGCACAAUCGGCGAAAGCCGGAUGCAGCGACGCCGCGUGGGCGAUGAACGCCUUCGGGUUGUAAAGCCCUUUUAUGGGGGAAGAGACAAGGACGGUACCCCAAGAAUAAGCGUCGGCUAACUACGUGCCAGCAGCCGCGGUAAAACGUAGGACGCAAGCGUAAUCCGGAUUUACUGAGCGUAAAGAGCGUUGAGGCGGUUCCGUAAGUUGGGCGUGAAAGCCCCGGGAUUAACCCGAGGAGGUCGUUCAAUACUGCGGGACUU
rnacentral:rRNA from 1 species